rnacentral:rRNA from 1 species
AGUGAACGCUGGCGGUAGGCCUAACACAUGCAAGUCGAACGGCAGCACAGUAAGAGCUUGCUCUUACGGGUGGCGAGUGGCGGACGGGUGAGGAAUACAUCGGAAUCUACUUUUUCGUGGGGGAUAACGUAGGGAAACCUACGCUAAUACCGCAUACGACCUACGGGUGAAAGCAGGGGAUCUUCGGACCUUGCGCGAUUGAAUGAGCCGAUGUCGGAUUAGCUAGUUGGCGGGGUAAAGGCCCACCAAGGCGACGAUCCGUAGCUGGUCUGAGAGGAUGAUCAGCCACACUGGAACUGAGACACGGUCCAGACUCCUACGGGAGGCAGCAGUGGGGAAUAUUGGACAAUGGGCGCAAGCCUGAUCCAGCCAUACCGCGUGGGUGAAGAAGGCCUUCGGGUUGUAAAGCCCUUUUGUUGGGAAAGAAAGGCAGCAGGUUAAUACCCCGCUGUUCUGACGGUACCCAAAGAAUAAGCACCGGCUAACUUCGUG